rnacentral:misc_RNA from 1 species
UGAACGGCGUAAAUGGAGGCUCAACGUGGUUGAUGCUCGGACUAAUAUUCCGGUUGAGGGGGUGGUGGUAGAUUUCGUAGUACUCUGCAUCGGCAGAUUCAGCGACUUUCCAAACAUCCCUGAAUUCCCUCCUAAUGGAGGCCCCGAAGCUUUCAAAGCCGGUAAAGUUCUUCACUCUUCGGAAUUUUCCGCCAUGGAUUUUGAUAGUGCUUUCAACCUCAUCAAGG